ACCCCCAAUACUUCUCUUAAGUUUCUCAAGAUCUUCAUCUAGAGGGAUCCCAUAAAUCACUCCUCUAAUCUUUUUAUUUUCUCCCAACACUUUUUUCUCCAACACAGUUUUUUUUACAAAUAUUAUCCACAUUUAAAGCCUUAUUCAUUUGUUCUUCGUUUUUACAGACAACCAAUAGGUUUCCAUCUCGCAAAAUCUUUACCAUUUCGACAUCUCCAAUUUUCUUUUUUAUUUCUCUUGACACCACAAUGGGGCUGAUGUUAUCCUGUUCCUGUUCAUUUUAAAAUUUUAAUAUUAUUUUAAAUUCCUCCCUCACAAGUUUCCUCCAAACUAUCCUUUCUUCAUCCGAACUACUUCCUUCCAGUUCUCGUUUACUGCCUUGAUUUUCCUUUCCUUCAUCUGUUUUAUUUCUUCCACGUCCUCUCCCUCUUCCUCUUCCCACUGGCGUCCACCCUUCUAAAUCCAUACCUUCCUCUAUUUCUACCUCCAUUUCCACCAGAACCAUUCACAUACCAGUUUAUGCCAAAUCCACCUUUUCCAAAUCCGAUAUAUUUUUAUGUUUUGUUUUUCCCGCGCCGCUCCAAAUCCAACUCUUCCGACCUCACACUUCCGCCUCCAACCAUAGACAUAAUCAGCGCCAUAGAGAUUGGACAUCAUUCACUUCCAUUGCUGACUCUCGAGUAAAUUCUGAGACCACCGAUUGCCUGCUAUUUUUGUUAGCUUGACUUCGCCCUCUGUAAAGCUCCAGCCAGCAUAAACACCAGUGCAUGCGUCGCUUGUCCUUGGUGGUCAGGCAGCGUGAUGUUGCCAAAUAGCCUCCCCGUUCCCAGAUGGAGCUCCACGCCUGGAGUAAUGGACAUUUCAUCUAAGUUGCCUUAUUAGGUCCUCCACAAUUGCACUAUUAGACCCUGGCAGUCUGGUCCCUGGAGCACCUGGCCCUGGCAAAGUUGGUUCAUCGUUGCUGGCUCCUGACUGACUGGCCCUCGGCACACACAUCCCUGGAUCACCUGCCCCUGUGUCCAGGACUCAGAUGAAGAGGAUGUUAGUAUGCGUUGUUGAGAGGAACUGCCCUACAGUGACUGGCCAUAGUGCUUACUGGAACUCUACAGAUCUUGCUGGACCAGCAGUAUCGUUUUUGUGGCCAUCACAGGUUUCAGUGGAGCACCCCC